CCAACUUCAAACAUGAACUAGAAAACACUACAAAAGCACUUUCGGUGUGCAUUAAUUGUAAAAGAGAGUUUUAAAGAAUAAAUAUGAUUCUAUUAUCAUAUAACUGGUUUCUUACUUUUACCUUUCACCAAUACGCUGCUUACGAAUAAGAAGCAAUUACGAGAAUCCAAAGCAGCAGCUGUCAACUGUCCUCACAGCCGGACAAGGGGCGGAGCCUCUUCUCUUUUACUGACCUUCAACCUCGAUACUAAUGGAAACGUCAAAGCAGCGCCACUAACGCGGUUUGCGUAGCUGCCGGUUCGCAUGCAAGAUCAGUUCUGUUACGUUUUCUGUGGUUGCGAUCUGCACCAUCACCACCUAAUCAA